rnacentral:rRNA from 1 species
UACGUAGGGGGCAAGCGUUGUCCGGAUUUAUUGGGCGUAAAGAGCGUGUAGGCGGCUAGAUAGGUCCGUUGUGAAAACUCGAGGCUCAACCUCGAGACGUCGAUGGAAACCAUCUGGCCAGAGUCCGGAAGAGGAGAGUGGAAUUCCUGGUGUAGCGGUGAAAUGCGCAGAUAUCAGGAAGAACACCUGUGGCGAAGGCGGCUCUCUGGUACGUGACUGACGCUGAGACGCGAAAGCGUGGGGAGCAAACAGG